UUGAGAGAUCUCAGCAUCGCGAUCAUCUUUUCGUCGACUCCGGUCACGCCGUUGAUCAAGGACCGGUCGUAAGACGGAGCUAGAAUCUCCGGUAGAGAAGAGGUGCCGUUGUUCUCGAGGUGUUGUUUGCAGAUGUGAGCCCAAGCUUUGAUGAAAGUGCUUGACGUUUUUCCGUCUAAAACGGCGUGGUGUGUUACAACGCCGAUGGAGAAUCCGUGGUUCGGAAACAACGUGAUUUGAAGAGAGAGAACGGUUGCUGAGUCAUCACAAACCGGUAACUCAGGGAGCAGGUUGUAUAACUCAGAGAGAGGACGUUGUCCGUAGCCGGAGAGAAGAGAAAAAUCAGCUUCGGUCUCGGCUAUUGUUACUGAAACGGCGUCGUUUGGAGAGACGACGAUGCUGGGCUUGGGCUCGUUUGGGUCCCAUGUUAUGCGGCCGGCGAGAGGGAGAUAGUUGCGGAGGACGAGGGACAAGGAGAGUUUGAGUUUAGGGAGGAUGAAGGAGUGGAAAUGCUCACGUGUCGACUCUGUGAGUUUGUAGAAGAAGACUCGCUUCACGGGGCUGAAUAGUAGCCACGGUAGGUCGAAGAACGUCAAGGGGAUCUUGAGGGAGUUGAGGACAGAGUCCGAGUCGGUGGCAGGGGUGACUCGGGCAACCUCAAUGAUGUGUGUAGUCAUUCGUGACGAGUGUUAUAUGAUGUUUCAAUAAUAAAACCAAUACUAGUAAUUAUAUAUAGCAAAAGAGUACUUGAACGACCAAAACUACUUUCGAGUUUCUGAGAGGAGGAUGACUCGGGCAAUCUCAACUAUAAGUUGCGUCAUUAGUGACGACUGAUCGGAUCGCUAACAUUUAGAUGUUUCAUUGAGAAAAUACCAAUGAGUCUAGAAUCUUUUGAUCUUUGUACAUAUACGACCAAAUCACCCAUAUAUGUGUUCACGUGUUAUGAAAUAACUGACUUCUCAAAGAUUCACAUUGUAUUCAACUCUGUUUUUUAGAUAUAUAAAUUAGUUAUAUGUGGCCAUUAAGUCAUCAAAUCAACAUUUUCAACAAAUUCUACCCAGAGGUCUAAUUAAGUUAGGGAAACUUAAAGAGACUUUAUUAAAGUUGUAAACUGUAAAUCACAGAAAUGGCAAGUGUUACAAAAAGAAUAAAAAUUGGCCAUUAAAUCAUCAACUCGACAUUUUCAACAAAUUCUACCCAAAUGUCUAAUUAAGUAAGGCAAAAAGUAAAGAGACUCUAUUUAAAGUUGUAAACUGUAAAUCACAGAAAUGGCAAGUGUUGCAAAAAUAAUUUGCCACAAUUCAUCAAAUCAACAUUGUCAUUUGUCAACAAAUUCUACCCAAAUGUCCAACCUGACCUAAAUUAGUCCGGUCUAUCUGACCCAAACCAGUCGGAUAUUGGGAUAUUGUUAAGAACAAUAUUCAAAGAACCAUGGAGAUGUGAAAAUAUAAAACUCCAAUAUUAAAAGUUUCAUAAAGACAUAAUUAACAUACAAGUGAUUUGGUACAAUUUACUUACUGUCAAUUGAUUUUAAACUUAACAGUUACCUUUUUUAUUCCGAAGUUUUUAAGGUUUCAAAUAGGUUUGAGCAUUCGGAUUUUCGAGUCAAGUUGGGGUUGGUUUCUUUUGGGUCCGAAUCAUUUGGGUCCUAUAAAUUUGAACUCAACUAGAUACUUGAAAUUUUUGGGUUCGGAUUCGGAUCGAUUUCUCUCGGAUUUGGGUCGGUUUGAGUCUAUAAUUAAAAUAUUUGUAGUUUUUGGAUCCAUAAUGGAUCCGGCUCAAGUUCGGGUAUUUACAAUAUGGAAAGAUCCGAAAUACUCAAUUUACAUCAAAAUUUAGCCAAAAUCCCUCAUAUUUAUCUACAAUUUUAAAAAAUAACCAAAAAUAAACAAAUAAUAUUGAAACUAAAAAUUUUUAAACUCUAAAUUUGACAUUAAAAUUUCAUAUUACUUGAACUUGUUAUAAAAAUAAUGAUAAAGAUUAUUAACAAAAAGAAAUUUUAAUUAAAUCAUAAAUUAAAAUAUAGAAAUAGAACAUGAAAUUAUAAUUUUGGAUAUUCCCAUGCCUAGUUUCAAGUUACAAUGGGAUUGUGACGAGUUUACUAUUUCCAGUUUAUCAAAUAUGGGCUAACUGGGCAUCAGGAGUAUUUGUGGGGUGGGAUGAUUAAUUGGACUCAAAUUUUCAGAUUUCUAUCUUUGAUUCAUGGGCUAUUUUUUCUGUUGGGUUUCAAGUUUCUUUCUUGUUUAAAUCUAAGGCUGGUGAUAACAACACCUUUGUUUCAUUUAAAUAUAUGCAAUGAAAAGUUAUUAUUAGUAUACAUAGAGGUUUCAAACUUCAAAUUGUGGAAAGUUAGGUUAGGAUCUAGAUUUAUACUAACUAAAGCAUCUCUAUAAAUUUAUAAAUUAACCACAAAACUUAUAAAAUCAGCACCUAGCAAACAUAUACACAUGAUAAUAGGACAGCUGGUUUGAAUCUGAAGUCAUAAUCAUGUAUACUCCAAUAGUAAUAGACAAAGAAAUAUUGUAUUUAUUUGAAUUGUAAAUGAAUAAACUUCUGUUUUUGCAGGAUACAUUAAUCUCGCGUUAUAUUAUAAUGAGCCCUAUGUAAUAUGAAAGGUCCAUCGCAAGAAAAGUGAAGUUUUCUUUCAUCAUCAAUGGCUACGAUAACGGUAACCAAGAUCUCCCGAGUCAACCCAGCAACAAACUCUUCUCAUGACACAACCAACUCGCUGGUUCUCCCACUCACCUUCUUCGACUUAAGGUGGGUGAAGUUCCAUCCCACCGAGAGAGUCAUCUUCUACAAACUCGAUAAAGACAACUCAUCUCGCGAGUCUUUCCACUCUCUAAUCCUCCCCAAGCUCGAGCUCUCUCUCUCCGCCGUCCUCCGUCACUACCUCCCGCUCGCAGGUCGCCUCAGGUGGGAUCCACAAGACCCUAAGCCACACAUUGUGGUCGUCCCAAACGACUCUGUCAAGUUGAUAGUUGCGGAGAGCGACGCUGACUUCUCCAUUAUCUCCUGGAAAGGGCUACGUCCCGAGACGGAGAUACGUUCUUUGGUCCCCGAGUUUCCGGUGGCUUGUGACUCGCCCUCCGUUCUUGCUCUGCAAGUUACGUUGUUCCCGAACCAAGGGUUUUGCAUCGGCGUAGCAGCUCAUCAUUCUGUUAUGGACGGUAAAACAGUGGUUAGGUUCAUCAAAUCAUGGGCUCACUUAUGUAACCACGAAACCAUGUCUUUACCGGAGAGCUUAACUCCGUUUCUAGAUCGUACCGUCAUCAACGUUCCCGCUAGUCUCGACGCCAAAAUCUUGGAGAUCUUGUUGUAUUUCUCAGAGGAGAAAGAGGACGUGAGAUCACUGAAGCUGCCUCCCAUGGAGAAGAUCAGCCCCGAGGUAGUGAGGAUCACGCUAGAGUUGACUCCGGAGAACAUCGAGAAACUUAGAGAGCGAGCCAAGAAAGAGUCAACUCGCUCCCAGCUUCACUUGUCAAUGUUUGUUGUCGCCAACGCUUAUCUAUGGACAUGCCUAGUGAAGACGCGUGGUGGCGAGGUGGAUAGACCGGUGCGUUUCAUGUAUGCAGCUGAUUUCAGGAACCGGCUGGAUCAGCCGGUUCCUGAAACUUACUUCGGGAACUGCGUGUUCCCGUUGGGCUGCUAUGGAUACAAAGCGGGGGGUUUUAUGGGAGAAGAUGGGUUUGUGAACAGCGUCGAGAUUAUAAGUGAUUCGGUUAAAGGUAUUGCGUCAAAUAAUAUUGAAGCACUUUGUGAGUUGUACGUAGAUGGGACGAAGAGAGUAAAACCGGGUACGCAGUCUGGGUCUGUUGCCGGGUCGAACCGGUUUGGGCUAUACACGGCGGAUUUUGGGUGGGGAAAACCGGUUAAUAGCGAGAUUGUGUCUAUCGACCGGAACGAGGCGUUUUCAAUGUCUGAGAGGAGGGAUGGGCCAGGUGGUGUGGAAAUUGGUCUGUGUUUGAAGAAAUGUGAAAUGAAUUUGUUUAUCUCUCUUUUUAAAAAUGGUUUGGAUAAUUAACACACUUUUAUUUAUAAUGACAUGGAGAUUGGUCUGUGAAGACAUGUGAAAUGGAUUUGUUUAUUUCUCUAUUUCGACCAUAAUAAUUUUCAUAAUGGCUUUCAGUAUGAGUCUGUUGUUGAUGAUAAAAAAAAAAAAAAGAUUAAACUUAGAUUUUUUAUCGAACUCAACUUUUUAACUCAAAAAUUUAUAUUGAUUAACAAAAUGUUCGGAAUUAACAUCAACAGUGGCGAAAAAUGUAAUUUCACCUAAGCUGUUUUCCUGGCUUUUUAUAAUCUAAACAGCAAAACCAAGAUUGUGCCUAUGCAACAAUCUCACUUAAAGUUUAGAUUGAAUUUUUAUUUCUCAUUGAUCCAACAACGUUUACGUUACGUACUAGCUUUUCUUUUUUAGAUGAACUAUUAGUUUUUCCAAAAAUUAGGGGACAUUGACCAUAGCAUAAUAUCAAUUAAAUACAUAACCGUUAUAAGGCAUGUGCGAUAUAUUAUCUACAAUACAAACAAAAUUUACUCUUAUUUCUUACCAACUAACACACUCGCUUUUUUUUCUUUCUUUCUUUUUUCAUCACCAAAGAUCACGGAACCAUUAAAAUUUCACAACGAACUUUGCAAAGGAUUCUGAUUUGCUAUCAAAACGAACGAAUCAAAGUAAUCCGGUCAGAUUGAAGAGCAUAUGAUCUUCUGAUUUCGCAUGCUGUAUAAUCAUCAGAUACUGCAACUGAUUGUCUGAUUGUUUUUCUUCAUAUAUUUGAUUGGUUUUACAAUUUUGUUACUUUGAUAUAUGUAAAUUAAAAAACAGAGAAGAUAAACAAUACACAUUACGUUGUACUACAGAAAUAGUUUCUUAAUGUUUUCUCUUCCUUCCCCUCCCCAUGGCCCUCCCCUUCCCCUGCCCCUCCCCUUUUCCCUCCCUUUCCUCUCCUUCAUGGUGCCCCUCCCCCCUCUCCCUGUGUCGCGGCGAGACAUGAAAAACCUAUAAACCUUGACAGAGAAAAAAGAAGAGAUAAUUUAUAGUAUUUUAUAAAGCAUCACAAAUUCACAAAGAAAUGUAUUUCAAUUUUAAUAUCUUGAAGAACAUCACAGUUAUCUUCAAACAAAAUAUAAAAAUACAGUAAGCCUGAAGUUUCGCAAAUUAGAUAAUCCAGAAAUGUAUGUUUUGGUUAUAGGGUAACAACAUCUAUACCUUUCGAUAAUAAUUUUGAUUAAUGGUGCGAAAAUAAAGAAAAUAUAAAAUUAUUAUCAUGUAUGAAAGUGUUGGUUUUCUUAGGCUGAUACUUAAUAAUAUUAUUUAAGAACAUCCAUUGGCAUGAAACGCAAAUAAAUGAGUGGUCGAAAUUUCUAGAACUAGAGUAUAAUGAAGUUUUAUUGUCAACUUAUACAUUUAUAAACAAAGCCUAAAUCUUCAAGGGACCAAAUAUUAGAAUCGAAUGUUACGAACCGCCCCGCCCCGCACCGCACCGCAGUUAUCAGUAACAAAAAUCUCUACAUAUACCAUAUAUCUAUAAGUUUUUAUAAUUGUUAAAAUCGUACCGCAGUUAAACCGCUUGUCCCGCACCGCUCAAACCGUAGUUACUAUUCGGAGCUUAAGUCGAAUAAUAUAAUGCGGAAACAAAGACAUAACUUAGAAGAAAAUAUUAUAUUCUUUUAUUUUCAACCAAACAAAUAUUUAAAUACAUUUAUUCAGCUGAAAAACACGUAAAUGGCUUUUCAUCUACAGCUAAUUUAUUUGCAAAGUACAGUUGUCUUCGGAAAAGCGACGGCAGGUUUCUUAAAUUCCUCGGGUCCAUCCGAAUCUAUAAGACUAGAACCCACAUUUCUCUAACUUUUUAUUCGUCUGUCACGAAGGGAAUCGUCACCGCCUAUCGUUAUAGAACAGCUCAGUCAACAAGCCGCGUCAUUUUUUGUCGGUUUAUGUUUUCUUAUUAUCCUCUGUUGGAUAUUGAUAAAUGAAUAUUCUUUUUUUUUUUGUGCAUUGAUUUAAUGAAAAUUGUUUUCCUCAAUCUGGUAUGGGCUUUUAACUAAGAACUAGCCAAGCCCAGCUCAUGUAUCUUUUGUUCUUAAGCCAACAAUUUUUGUUCAAAGUUUCAAUGACCCAACUAAUUCAUAUAGAUUUUUUUUUUUUUUUGAAACACGAACUAAUUCAUAUAGCUUUUUCAUAUUUUUUCUGAAGUAUCAAAUUCCUGUUUUUUUUGUUCAACAUACUGCAGUUGUAUAUCAUAACCUUUUACAAAAUGCUUUGUUUUCUCUUUUGUGGUUAAGAGUUAAGCCAGUUUACAAAAAAAGAGAGAGUUAAGCCAGUGUUUUACAUGUUACAAUUAAACCAGAGUAGAUAGAAGUUUCACGGAUUCAGUUUAUAAGUAAUGUUUUUGCAUUAAAUUGGAUAGACAUUUAAUUCAACCGACAGACGUUCUUGAUGUUGCAUAGAUUCAUAAAAAAAGUUUUUAAAAAACAAUAGAAGAUCACAAAACACACAUAAUUAAGAGAGAAAAUAACACAACAUAUUAGCUAGUGGCACGUUUGCAUCUGGUGAAGUAAGUGCAAGCUGCGUUUUUCUGAUUAACUUUUCCGAUGCAACUACCAGCAAUCUUACAUUUAUAAGCUGCCUUCUGCCCCUGCAGAGCUGAGUAGCCUAAGUUCCUCCCCUGUUGUCGCAGAAUCCGCCGCACCACAUCCUCAACUCCAUCCUCCUCAAUCUCCGCCGUUAUGCAUUCUCCAAUGGUGUCUCUGAGAGCACAUCCGCCAUAUCUCAACCCACUUGUGGCGUUCCCUGCAGCUGCAGUUGUCGAAGCCGCUGCAAGAAGAAGCAGAAGAGAGACGACUAAGAAGGAAAAGAAAAGUGAUUUGGCCAUGUCUAAAAAGAAAAGCUAUGAGAUGUCGGAUGUGGAAUCGUGGUAUGAGAAGAAGAAGAUAGCACUACCAUCUCAUCUUAUCUUUAUGCACACUUUAAUUUGCUUUAUUAUUUUUAUUACUAAAUUCCAGGAAUUAUUUGGCUUGUUGUUUAUUUUUAUAUAUUAUUUUUGUCGGCAAGUCACUCUUGCUGGUCUAAUAACUGCGGUUGGUCACUCAUUUCAGUUAGGUACACAGAGAAUAUAGAACCAACACUUGCACUAUUCAAUACAGCAGCAAAUUAUUGCAUUUUAACGUUAAUCUUUCUGGUACACUACACCAUAGCAUUAUUUUUAUACACUCGUAGCUUCGUACCGGUGGAGUAUGGUUAAGGAAUCUGGUUUUCCCGUAACCGAUCUAUACCCAAAAUGAUAGUCGCAAUUCGCAACCUAACUCAAUAGCAGGGAAGCUUCGUCUGAUAUCCGUUUCCUAUUUUACAAAUUUCAUCAGAUGUCUAGCUUUUGUUUAGGUAACACGGGAGCUUUAUAGGAUGUCUAAAAUGGAUAAUCACAAUUCACUACACAAUUUCUGUAAACAUUUUUAUUUCACGUAAAAACAAAACAAGAAGAAGAAAAGGUCCAAUAGAUAAACCUUAAACAGACAAGAAAAGAAACACAAAUAAAACAAGAACAACAAAAUACAAAUGAAGAGAAAUCUUACGGGGAGCCACUUUAAAACACCAGUUAGUGAAUAUAUAUUGAUGAAGACACCCUGCAAGAGAGGAGAGGUUAAGUAGGUCUAGUAUUCCUGGCGAUCUCUAGCAAAAGUUUAUGCAAAGCUUGUGGCUUGGAGAAGAAAGGAGCAUGGUCAGCACCUUUUAACCGGUAAACUUUUUCAGGUGGACUACUAUUAAUCAUGUUUUCUUGGAGAGUCACUGGUAUAGCAUUAUCCUCUAACGUCUCUAUGUAGUACCGUCUCACUGAACCGUAGUUACCAUCUGAGAGAGAGAGUUUCUCGAGAACCGGAGCGAAUGGUAUUGACUUCAUUGAUACAGAAGCCAAUGCAAUAUCCUUUGAUGGGCUUUGAUUAAACAAAAGGUCUCUGAUAAGAGAUUUGUCUAAGUCAAUGGCCGUUGGAGGAUGUUCAUUACCAUUUGUGUAGAUAAAAAUCUGAGCUUUUCUCAUUAGAUCGUUCGGACCUGCCUGAAAAAAUGUGUCAUAUAGUUGUCGGUUAAUCUAUGGCACGAAACAAGCUUGAAACCCAAGAAGAGAUAAUCAAGAAAACAAACCUGCAGCGAGAACAUAUCAAGUGUACUUUGUCCAUUUGUUAACAUUGCUGCAGCGAGGAAAACAGCUUUUGAAAUCUUGGAAGGAAACAGUUCCAUAGCAUAUGAUAUACAUGCUCCACCAAAAUCAUGACCAACCAAGAUCACCUGAAAUUGUUUUUACAUAAUAACAUUUUUUAGUAUUUUUGGAAGAGGAAAUCAAAGGAAAUGGAGUAGAAAUGGAAGGUAAACAGAAACAGAACCUUCUCUCCUAUGGGAAGCUUUUCAAGAAUGUCAGUAAGUGGCUUCACGUAUUGUGACAAACUGGCGAUGCCAUUUAUAUUGAACGAGUUGAUACCACAACCAGCUAAGUCUAUGGCUGUAACUUUGAAACCAUCUUCCUCCAGGAGUGCAAUGGUUUUGUACCAACACCAAGCACCAAAACCUCCUCCAUGGAUGAGGAUAAAAUGGUUUGUUUCCAAGUCAUCUAGCUUAACACCCUAUUCAAAGACCAGAACAAAGAAUCUUACUUCAGUAUAAAGAAUGUACCACGAAGAAAAUGUAUUAAACAGUCCUACAUGGAAGAGAGGAACAACACUUGAAGAUAAGUACUUUCAACAUCAAGAUUCUCUUCCUCUUUUUUUCAGACUAUAAUCUCUUUGUCACCCACAAUCCCACAAUAUGUGAAUUCAAAGUUUAUCAUUAAAUGUCAAGAAAGGAUCACCAAUCACAGGUUAUUACAUAUGUUCCAAAGCAUGUCUUUAUUCAAAAUAUCAGUGUUCUAAAAAUCGGUGUAAACUGCACCUAGGUGUCCGUCUAAUCGGCAAAUCAUACUUAAACAAAAUGAUUAUUCCAAGAACGUUUUUUUCAAAAAAAAAAAAAGUUUAGGCACUAAAAAAUCUGUCUAUAUGCGUCCGCUUAAUCAAUAAUCUUAUAUAAAAUGCCUAACUACGGACUAACGAUUUUUAAACAUUGCAAAAUAACAUUGAGCUCAUUGUCCACUUUAUAUGUAACUUCCACGUUUGGUUUCGAAUUAAGACCUCAGUUAGAGGAAUGUCUGUUAACAUCCUUAAGAGGAUUGACUUCAGUCAAUACAAAGACAGAACCUGGUUAAGGAACUGAUGAGGCUGCAACAGAGGAUCCGUGGAGGAUCUUGACCUAGUGCUGGAGCUCCGAGGCAACUGAUUCUUCUUCGAGACAGAAACGGGAUGACGUUGCGACGCGGACCGUUCAAACGGCAGCGAUCCGCCGCUUUUCUGCUGUCUGGACAAAAUGGCAGCAGCGGCAAGAGCUUGCUCCUGAGUCACGGCAUCAUCGAACUUGUUAGAGGACGAUGACCUGAACCGGUUCAACCGGUUGGUAUUAGGACCAGAACCCGACCCGGAUAAAGAUGGUUGCCGCUUCUUGAUGGGUCGUCUCUUCUUCACGGGCUUCGGCGGAGCAAACAGAGAACAGAGGUUUCCCAUGAAGAGAAUGAAAAAGGCUCAGAGCUUGUGAUAGAGAGAGAGAGAGAGAGAGUAAGAAAGGUUUGGGAUUUAUGGAGUUUUAGAGAGAGAACGUGACGUGAGGUUCAGGUGAAAGUGGUGGAGAGAAAGUGGAAUGGAGAAGCUGGCAACUUUCUAAUGGCUUCUCAACGUCUCUAUACUGUAAACGGUAAUCGUGAGGCCAGAGAGGGACCAUUGCUACAGAAGAAAGUUCCUAUAAUUUUAUAAUAAUUACACUCUUUUAUUUUCAUUAUUAAACUUCAUAGUUUUUACCUUUUUAACAUAAACUGAAUUUACUUUCACAUUUUUUUUUUCAAUAUUGGAGAAUUUUCAAUUUCAAAAAAACUAUUGGAGAAUUUUUUAAUUGAUUAACACACUUUGGUUAUGCUGCACCAAUUAAAAUAUGCAAAUCACAAUAGAGUGUUUUUUUAGAAAAAAAUUAACAGUUUAUGGAAAGAUCAAACUAACAAAACUUUUAUAUUGCAGAGAGUGUAGCUUUCUCGUGGCUAUCCACUUACGGAGACAAAGCAGUCCUCCACAUUGAGCGUUCAAUAAGAUAUAGAAAAGGACUAAUAAGUCACGCUUUUACUCAAAUUGUGAUCAUCACAAGAUCAAAAUUUUGUUUGGACCACCACUAUAUAACAUACUAAAGUAAUGUAAAGUUAGGAGAAUCAGAUCCCGAGUAAAAUACAUGGCAAAAGAUAUGUAGAUGCUAAGCUACCAUCAUCACAUUGCAUGUGAAUUCCCUCGCCUUGCAAUAUGUAUGCAAUCAUAUGAUAAGUACAAGUGUUUUAAAAUUUUAGUAGAAAAUAUUGACCAUUGCCACUUUUUUUCUCUCCGCCUGAGAAAUAACUAACUUUACUGGUCAUCCACCACAUUUUCAGUUGUCACAGUGAGGCACAUACUAUACUUCGAUCUGAAACACUAAAAAUGAUCAGACAUAUAACCAAAAUGUGUUGAAAAGACAAUAUAUAUAUAACCAAAUGUGAUCAUUUUCUAACACAUUUGGUUAUCUACUUUUGAUUUGUUAGUUUAGGUAAUGAUGUAAGUCCAUGUAAAGAUAUAUCAAUGGUCAUUGACUCAUUGUAUUACUAGGUGUAUAUAUCUCAUUUAUUCUCACACAACGAUGGAUUUUUUACAAAAUGAUCAGUGAUCUCUUAUGUUGAAAUUAUGCUUUGUUGUGCCUCUUAAUUAGCCUUUAGUCUCUACGCUUAUUAGUUUAGAAUUGUUUGAAAUUCACUACAAGAAAAUACAUCUCUAAAAUAUAUUGGCUAUUUUCAUGUUGAUGCAUGAUUCAUGAUUGUAUUUAUGUUAUGGACUUUUUUGUCGGCAAAUGCACACUAUAUCAUGAACUUUAAUGAUAUCUAUACCAUAAACAUUUGUUAUCUUAGAGUAUUUCAAUUCAAUAGGCUAAGUUCUCAAGAAUGUGAAUAUUAGUGAAAGAUUUUUUUUUAAUGAAAUUGAACAAUGUAACUACAUUUGUAUAAGAAUCUUAGAUAUAUUUAUCUUCAAUGUCAAAACAAAUAUUGACUAGCUUUGUGUAUUUUAUACAAAGUCAAACUCUGUUUGGAAACUGGAGUUGAUAUAACAAAGCGUAAAAAGUGUUAAUUCCAUGAUAUAUACCUCCAAAUUAUUCUACUUGUCACACAAAGCUGAUUUUUUUGAAGUAGAUCUUAUAUAUGAACAGUUUAAUAUUAUUAGUUAAACUUACAAAAUAAACAAAAUAUUAUUAGUCAAACCAUAUUGUUGUUUAUAAUUUUGAUAUGCAUAGAAUCCACGAUUAAGAAAGUCUAAAAUGGUUCAUAAUGGAGCUAGUGUUUUGGAAUAUAGUCGUAAUUAAGGAUAUGGUCUUGUCACAUAAGGGACGACAAAAAUCCCCUCCUUGUUACGACUGGUCAUAUCUGGAGUAGUGUUCGCUUUGGCUCUCUAUGACCUCGCGUGGAGGUUUGAUUGUCAAAAAACUGGGUCUUCAUCAGCCGUUCGUUUUCUGCAUUUCUUGUGGCUAGACAGGUUGUACUCGAAGCAAUACAUUGAGAAGCAGAUUAUUCCCAAAUAAUGUUCGCUUUCUAGUGUGCGUUUAUCUCUUUGUUCUCCCUUCGGUAUAUCCGUUUACGUGGGUGUUUUAUAGAAUUGAUCUGGUUUCUAUGAUUGAGUUUUACUUUUGACUUCUGUAUAUUAUAUUCUGCUUUACCGUCCGGACAUUUUGUUCAAAUCUGCCGGCUAAUGUCUUCAGAGUAAGUUGUUGUUUACUCCUAGUUGUAUGUAGUCUCUAGGAGUUUGAUAAUUCCCCUUAGUGUCACUCCCUUGUGUAAUUAAUAUCGGUUUUCUUUAUGAGGAAUAAACAUUACUAUAAUUAAUAUUUUUAUUCAGAUAAUAUUUUUCAAAAACUUUAUAUAUUUCUGUAGAAAAAGCUUUUAAUUUUGUAAACCAUUGUUGAAAAUGGAAAGGACGAUGUCCAUUUCAGUCUUUUUCAAACACAUUCCAAUCUCCACGCCACCCGACUGCUCACGUCUCUCAGCCAUCGCGAUCGCUUCUCCUUGGUCAAUAGAAACAAUAUCAACCUUAACGGGUCUCCCCCACCCGAAAUCCGACUCGUAAACUUUCAACCGGGUCGACCCGGCUACAGUCCCGAACUGCGUGCUCCCUUCCACGAAACGGAACGCUUCCGCGUACGCCUCCGCAACCGUCUCUACCUCCCGCGAACUCAGCCCCUUCACCAAACCGCUCAGGAUCUCCACCGCCGCAACGAAUCUCGACAACUCCGCCGCCUCGUGGUCGUAACUACCCGCAGGAAACACGCAGUUCCCGAAGUACGUCGCCGGAAGCGGCGGAUCCAGCCGGUGUCUGAAAUCUCCGACGAAGAGGAGGCUCACCGAUCUCUCGUCGCUUCCUCCGCGCGCCUUCACGAAGCAGGUCCACGCGUACGCGAAGGAGACGACGAAAGUCGACAGGUGGAGCUGACUCGGCGUGGUUGACUCGCGCUGGGCU
rnacentral:lncRNA from 1 species